rnacentral:snoRNA from 1 species
CAGCCCCCAUCAGGGAUCAUUUCUAUAGUUCAUUGCUAGAGACGUUUCUCUGACCGUCUAGAGCACCCAAACCACAAGGAGGAACCAGAGUAUCCUCUCCCGAGUGUGGAGCUGAUUCUAGGUGCUACUUUUGGAACUGCCUUUUACCAUUGAUGAUCGUUCUUCUCUUCCUUUGGAAGGAGAGCGAGAGGAUGCUGUCUUAGUGG